rnacentral:lncRNA from 1 species
UGUGUAUAGGAUGGGACCACAUGGUUAUGUGACCCUGAUGAAUGCGUAAUGGAGGGAGAGGGGCAACCCUACAACAGAAAGGUUGUGCUGAGCAGAUAAAACAGUAGACACUGAACAAAAAUUAUAGACUUCUUUCCUCUAAGGAGUUUACUUAUAAUAAUUUUAUCCUUUUCUCUCUAGUUUUGAAUUUAGGAAGGGCAAGGCCAUCUUGACCCAGAAAAGCCCUUUAUGCAUUUACCUGAAAGAGGAUCACUUCCAUCUUAUCCUACAAUCAGGCAGCAAGUAUUUACUGAGUAAUGAUUGCCUCCCAGCAGCAUGCAAUACUAGCAGCUGUUGGAAGAGGAGAACAGAAACAUAGAUAACUGAUGGAGAUGUUUCAUUUGAAUAAAGCAACGAGCCUAAAUAGAUAACUUUAUUGGCUUACUGAAUUGUAGACCAACCCUGUUUAUAUUGCAGCUGGGGCCAUCAGUUGGCUUAAUAAUAUUUAACUACCUUAUAUACUAUUUGAAAUAAAUGGGGGUGGAAAUAAAUAGAUAAAUGAUUAAGUAUCUAAAUACAAUGUGUCAGUGAUGUGUCAGUGAGAUAUCAAACUGGUUUAAGUGAAAGAAGCCAUCACAGAGACAGCAAUUUAUUGCUUACUAAGUGAGGGAGAACUUUGCUUGUGAACCUGCUCACUCUAAGCAAAGCAGAGACCUAAUUGUGUAGGGGUUCAAGAAUCCUGGAGUUGAGGGAUCAGCAGAAUUUCAAAAGCAAGAGUGUUUAGAUAUUGGUUGACCUUUAGCUGUGAAAGUGUGGUUCCUGAAAAAUCAUUGUGACUCACAGGCUGAUUUUCAGAAAUACUGGGUUGUAACAUAUUGGUUGACUUUUAGAAACAUGGUGAACCAUGCAAAGUUGUUACAGAUCAAUUAGGGUGGUUUUAAAGUUCGUUCUGGGCAUUACUUGCUGCUGUGGCUGAAGAAAAAUCACUGAUUUCCUAUAAAGUAAGGAACUUCUGUUGUCACUUGAAACCAUUGUUAUCAUCCUCCAUGUCUGAAAUUUAAAACUCUUGUCU